GACGUAGGGGACGAGCGUUGUCCGGAUUUACUGGGCGUAAAGAGCGUGUAGGCGGCCAGGCCGGUCUGUUGUGAAAACUGGAGGCUCAACCUCCAGACGUCGACAGAAACCGCUUGGCUAGAGUCCGGAAGAGGAGAGUGGAAUUCCUGGUGUAGCGGUGAAAUGCGCAGAUAUCAGGAAGAACACCGAUGGCGAAGGCAGCUCUCUGGGACGGUACUGACGCUGAGACGCGAAAGCGUGGGGAGCGAACAGG
rnacentral:rRNA from 1 species